rnacentral:lncRNA from 1 species
AAGAUAUUCAAAAGGAUAUGCUUCCAAUUAUCACUCGUUAUCCUUCGAUUUUAUUAAAUUAUUUUGGGCAUAGAAACAUUUUGACGUUGGAUCAAGCGUUUCAAUUUAAUUUAUGAAAUAAUUUGAAUUAAGCGAAAGAGCUACUCGAUGUUGGAUCGAAUACUCACGUUGUGAAAAUGGUUUGACUUGUUGAAAAUGGUUUUUGAGUUUAAAUAUGAAAAUAAAUUUGUUUUUUUUUUGUUUUGAAAAUAAAUGUGGAUUUUUA